rnacentral:rRNA from 1 species
GGGUGAGUAAUGUCUGGGAAACUGCCUGAUGGAGGGGGAGUAACUACUGGAAACGGUAGCUAAUACCGCAUAACGUCGCAAGACCAAAGAGGGGGACCUUCGGGCCUCUUGCCAUCAGAUGUGCCCAGAUGGGAUUAGCUAGUAGGUGGGGUAACGGCUCACCUAGGCGACGAUCCCUAGCUGGUCUGAGAGGAUGACCAGCCACACUGGAACUGAGACACGGUCCAGACUCCUACGGGAGGCAGCAUG